UACGUAGGGUGCGAGCGUUGUCCGGAAUUACUGGGCGUAAAGCGUGCGUAGACGGUAGCGUAAGUCAGAUGUGAAAGCCCCGGGCUCAACCUGGGAAUUGCAUUUGAGACUGCUCUGCUCGGGUGCGGAAGAGGGAAGCGGAAUUUCCGGUGUAGCGGUGAAAUGCGCAGAUAUCAGGAAGAACACCCGUGGCGAAGGCGGCUCUCUGGGACGGUACUGACGCUGAGACGCGAAAGCGUGGGGAGCGAACAGG
rnacentral:rRNA from 1 species